GAUGAACGCUAGCGGCAGGCUUAAUACAUGCAAGUCGAGGGGCAGCACGAAUAGCAAUAUUUGGUGGCGACCGGCGCACGGGUGCGUAACACGUAUACAAUCUACCUUCAACAGGGGGAUAGCCUUUCGAAAGAGAGAUUAAUACCCCGUAAUAUAAGAGACGGCAUCGUUUUUUAUUGAAAGUUCCGACGGUUGAAGAUGAGUAUGCGUCUGAUUAGCUAGUUGGUGAGGUAAUGGCUCACCAAGGCGACGAUCAGUAGGGGAUCUGAGAGGAUGAUCCCCCACACUGGUACUGAGAUACGGACCAGACUCCUACGGGAGCAGCAGUAGGGAAUAUUGGUCAAUGGGCGCAAGCCUGAACCAGCCAUGCCGCGUGCAGGAAGAAGGCCCUCUGGGUUGUAAACUGCUUUUGAUAGGGAACAAAUGCCACUUGCGAGUGGAGCUGAGUGUACCUAUAGAAUAAGCACCGGCUAACUCCGUGCCAGCAGCCG
rnacentral:rRNA from 1 species